rnacentral:lncRNA from 1 species
UCUGCCUACGAGUAUGAUCAUAAAAGAGAUUGAUGAAUUAGAUAAAAAGAUGUAUUGGAGAAAGCUUAAAAAGAAGAAGAUCGGCUCUUAAAUUGAAGUGUCCAACAUUCAGAAAUUAAAAACUAAUGUCACAUCUGUACCAUAAACCUCCUCAAACGGUUUAGACAAACUUUUUUCUUAUAUAAAGGCCUAGAAAAAUCUUUCCACUCCAAU